rnacentral:snRNA from 1 species
GUCCUCACUUCAACAACACAUAAACUCAAAUUGAAAUGAUACAGAAAAGAUUAGCAUGGCCCCUGCACAAGGAUGACAUGCAAAUUUGUGAAGUGUUUCGUAUUUUU